GGCCCAUUAGCUUAGUUGGUUCGAGCGUCGUGCUAAUAAUGCGAAGGUCGUGGGUUCGAUCCCCCCAUGGGCCA
rnacentral:tRNA from 1 species